rnacentral:rRNA from 1 species
GCCACGGCCAUACCAGCCUGGGUACGCCCGAUCUCGUCUGAUCUCGGAAGCUAAGCAAGGUCGGGCCUGGUUAGUACUUGGAUGGGAGACCACCUGGGAAUACCAAGUGCUGUAAGCA